rnacentral:lncRNA from 1 species
AGCCCCAGGAGCUCUGAUAUUCUCUGCACACACGCAGAGGCAAGUAACACACACACUUUGUUGCUGCAGAAUGACUCGCGUUGGAGCCUUUUGUGCCAGGAGGAGGGGACCUGGUUUCUGGCUGGAAUCAGAGACUUUCCCAGUGGCUGUCUACGUCCCCGAGCCUUCUUCCCUCUGCAGACUCAUGGCCCAUGGAUCAGCCAUGUGACUCGGGGAGCCUAUCUGGAGGACCAGCUAGCCUGGGAUUGGGGCCCUGAUGGGGAGGAGACUGAGACACAGACUUGUCCCCCACACACAGAGCAUGGUGGCCAGGCUCUACAACAGUGCCUUACAUUGAAGUGUAUCUGGGCCGGGCAGGGGCCAGCUCCCUCCCACAGGGCCACCAGGUAUCCCGCUUGGUCAUCAGCAUCCGGCUGCCCCGGCACCUGGGACUCAGGCCCCCCCUGGCCCUCC